CGCAGAGUAGGCAUACAGGCGUCAAGUGUCGGAUGAACAGGGAGUUGACAUCCGGACGAAGGGGAAAUCCCCGCGGCCUGUAUCCCGCAUCCCGCUGCA
rfam:Clostridium symbiosum WAL-14163 genomic scaffold supercont1.2, whole genome shotgun sequence.